rnacentral:tRNA from 1 species
GAGGACUUAGCUUAAGUAAAGUGAUUGGUUUGCGUCCAAUUGAUGUAGGGUAGAGUCUUGCAGUCCUUA